UCCUAAACAUCACUUACGAAGUAAACUAAACCUUGAAUGGAAGGGAGGAUCCCACCUUGAAAGUAUCUAUCAUAAGCAUCUCUUAGAUUUUGUUCAUAAAGAAUAAGCCACCGUUAUCAAGCCAUUAGACAUUAACAGCAACAACAAAAAUACAAAACUGGACAUGAGUUAAAACUGAAGACCACAAACAUAACUUGGAAAAAACCAAUCGAGAAAAAAUCAUGGAGUCUAUGUAAUACUUCACUGUAGAUGAAAGACAUCUAAGACACAUAUAUAGCUAGAAUCCAUUAUAACAAAUAGCAAUUUCCCCUGAGUCCAGUGUCCACGACAAGCAAAUAAAAUUUCAGGAGGAUAUUAACAAAUGGGAUAUCUUGAUCAAAAUCUGUAGAGAUAUGAAAAGCCAUGACUCCAGUUGCCAACUUCACAACGUUUACCAUUAGGCUGUGACUCAACUAUGGUCCCAAGGGGAAGAAACUUGAAACGACAGCAGCGACUACAGACACAGAUGGACCCCAGACAUUCAGAUUGAAACUUGACGACGACGCUGAACCUUCUUGACCCUCAUUACUGUUCUAGGACUCACUGUAACAGUAAGGACACGAUAUAUAAGCCAUGCACAAGAGAACAUUG
rnacentral:lncRNA from 1 species